CGUGACCGUUUAGAGGAGUUCAACGGUAUUUUGUCUUUUAUGUGAUACUGUUGUGAGUGUGGUGUUCAAGAUUGAACACAGGACCUCAUGCACAGCAGGUACCCUCUGUACCCUCGUUGACUGUCCUACAAGAUGAGACAUUACAGCAUCUCUAAUUUCCAAGUAUCCCCAUCUUGGUUCAAAGAAGAAACUGAGCAUCAAUGGAGUUGCUCCAGUUGUGGCAAGAUAGCCAGCCACUAUGGCCUUAAUUCAUCUACACACAAAAAUACUGCCCAGGAAAAGGACGGAAUAUGGGGAACAGUCGACCAAUAGCUCUGCCAAUACAGGAAUAAAGUUCAUUUACCCACUAUGGCUUCCAGUUCCACUGUAAUCUGGCAUUGGUCUUUUUUCUGCUUUUCACCUGAGAUUCUCUGGAUGAUAACCUGAAGCUCUUUGCUUGACAUAGUCCUUAUUUGGCUCAGUAUUGCCUGAGGCAAAGCAAUAAGGUUGAGCUUGGUCACUUUCCUAAAAAGUUAUCUGAAGAAUGGGCCAGCAUGAUAUAACCCAACAUGAAACACAUGUAAAACCUUCAUAGAGAUGAAUCCUGUGACCCCCAACUACAAGACUUUUGAUAUUUGAGCAUGAAGUGCUAUGACUGCAGGAAGAGACCUUGGAGGGAAAUUUACCAUAACGAGAAGAUCAUGAAACCGGUUAUGACUAGAUCUUGCUCAAUUUCAAAUUCUGUCGAUUACUAGUCCUGUGCUGUGGGACGGUUUGACAUUUCAGAGAUUCUGUUCUUUCGCUGUAAAGUGGAUAAAAUGGUGCCUAAUGUAGUAGAUGAUUGUGACAGCUCGGUGAUAAAGUGCCAAUUAAAUGCUUAGUGGAGUGUUUAACACGUGGCAAGUGUGCAAUAUACGCCAGGUAUCAUUUGACACUUCAUUUGCUACUUGGCUCUUGGGGCUCAACCUCAGUUUAUGACUGAGUGUGCUGCAUUAAAAACACAGGCAAAGACCAAUGGAAACUUCCUAGUGCUUGAGAAAGGACUGACACUGUGGUACAUCCUGUGACUCCAUGAGAAUUCUCAUUCUGUAUAUUUCAGAGCAUUUUCUGUAAGUCAAACGAUACCUUUUUUCUAAGCAGAGACUAUAGUAUGAUCUGUGAAUUAGUGU
rnacentral:sRNA from 1 species